AGAGUUUGAUCCUGGCUCAGAUUGAACGCUGGCGGCAUGCCUAACACAUGCAAGUCGCGCGGAGUGUAGCAAUACACUUAGCGGCGGACGGGUGAGGAAUACAUAGGAAUUUGCCUUUAGGUGGGGGAUAGCCCAGGGAAACUUGGAGUAAUACCGCAUGAUGUCGUGAGACCAAAGCCGGGGACCGCAAGGCCUGGCGCCUUUAGAGAAGCCUAUGUCUGAUUAGCUAGUUGGUAGGGUAAUGGCCUACCAAGGCAACGAUCAGUAGCUGGUCUGAGAGGACGAUCAGCCACACCGGAACUGAGACACGGUCCGGACUCCUACGGGAGGCAGCAGUGGGGAAUAUUGGACAAUGGGCGCAAGCCUGAUCCAGCCAUGCCGCGUGAGUGAUGAAGGCCCUAGGGUUGUAAAGCUCUUUUGUGCGGGAAGAUAAUGACGGUACCGCAAGAAUAAGCCCCGGCUAACUUCGUGCCAGCAGCCGCGGUAAUACGAAGGGGGCUAGCGUUGCUCGGAAUCACUGGGCGCAAAGGGUGCGUAGGCGGGUCUUUAAGUCAGGGGUGAAAUCCUGGAGCUCAACUCCAGAACUGCCUUUGAUACUGAAGAUCUUGAGUUCGGGAGAGGUGAGUGGAACUGCGAGUGUAGAGGUGAAAUUCGUAGAUAUUCGCAAGAACACCAGUGGCGAAGGCGGCUCACUGGCCCGAUACUGACGCUGAGGCACGAAAGCGUGGGGAGCAAACAGGAUUAGAUACCCUGGUAGUCC
rnacentral:rRNA from 1 species